UGCAAACUCUUUCUGCCUUUCCCCACAGUAGCCCAGGAAGAGCUUUCAAAUCUUAUCUCCAAUUCUCAGCCCCUGGCCACACUAGCUAAACCCUUUCCAGUCUUCCCCAGGCUCCUUUCUCAGGAAAGGCCUUUUGAAUUCAAGUACAGACAACCUUCAUGGGGGUGCUGUUAACUACGGUUUUGUGUGUCCUGCUUACCCUCCCUUCCUAAGAAGGAGACUCAUCUCCAUGGAAACUGCUGCGUCACAGCCACGGCAGAGACCAGGCUACGUCUUCCAGAGCAAGUCUCCUAUCAGAGCUCUUCACUGAGAUACAUACAGACAUGAUUAGAAGACAGGUGUUGGCUUUGGCAACAACAAAGCAGAAAGGGAAGUUUCUCGUAAGAGGCUUGUGAAUGCCGGAAGAAGAAUGGAUGUGGGGUGAGAAGUCCUUACUUCAAGUUCAAGCCCUGGACUUCAAUUGGUAUUUAUUGCUACACUCGAACCAAGAUCUCAAGAAAUAGCUAAUGUGCUCGUGUAUCCUCACACUUGACCACAAAAAUGCUACAGAGCCUCAUCCUGAGUGGACAUAUGCACAAGUUCCAGGAGGCAAGAUCUGUGACUCUGCAAACCUUGUCACUACUGCACAAUAUGGAGACAACAGUGGAGCCAGCAGGAAGAGCUGACUCUUGGAGCUCCCACAGGCCAGUCCCGAGGAAGGAUGCUGGUUCCAUCUCCUUCCUGCUUCCUAGUGCUGAGGAAAGCAAGGAUCACUGUGGCAACCAAUCCAAAAUGUGUGCUGGAAGAAGAGGGUGGGCUCUGAACAAUUAAACUACUGGUUAUUCGAGCACUGGCUCCUACUCAACCAUUAUUUCUCCUUGAGAGUCCCAUGUGCUGCACUUAAGGAACAAAUCAGUCUUUUCGUUGCUUACACAUUUUCAUAUUCAUUGGCUUAUUGAGAUCAAACCCCUUCUGUAAACUUAAACUUUGCAUCUGUUAUCUGGUAAAUGUUCAGAGCCAGUGUUAAGUCCUGUGGCCAUUUCAUAAUGCUAUCAAUCUGCCAUCUGUCCUUGUUUUAAAGACAAACACAUUUUCCUCCUGGCUCCAUCUCGUCCUAAUGAAGCCUCUGGAAGAUUAGCAAAGCAUUUCAGGCAUUUAAACUGGCGUGUGCUGUGCAAGGCAAGGUGUGGGACAGGGUCUCCAGCUGCUCACCGGAAUGUGCAGUGAUUAUACUUUCUCAAUAGUCCUUAUUUUUCACACUGUUGAAGCUACCCCUGGUGAUAAGCUAAGCACUUAAGAAGGUGUUUUAACUCUCUAUUCCCACUGGGUGUCUGAGGCCUUUGUGCCUUUGUCUACCCUGAGUCUUCACAGGGAACCUGUUUCUCAGCAGUUCAGGCCAGCACCCAUUAGCUGACUAUAUGUUUCCUACCUGAAUCUUAUAAAAUCCCUUCCUCUCUUCCAUGUGUCAAGAGCUUUAAGCAUUACAGGAUGUAAUAAUAUAAAUAUUUCUUUCUGGAGAAUAUGAAAGCUUAGUGGAAAAUAACAAUAUAAUAUGGGCACUGGCAUCAGAUAGCUUGGGUUCAAAUCCAUCUCUGGCACUUUCUGUUUAUGUGACCUCAAAUGUCAACGAAUCUUUCAAAGCUUAAAAUUCCCAUCUGUAAAAUGGAAACUCAUUUAUCUUAUACAUAUUUAUUGAAGGAUGACUUCGUGUCCAGCCCAGGCCAGGUUCUAGGAUCUAUCUCUAAACCAGACUGACAAAAUCCCCCUUGAAUGCAGCUAGCACUCAAGUAUUAACAAACAUUAAAAAUUAAACAGCAGAUACAUUGGGUGUCAGGCAGUGAUGAAUGCUGGGAAGAAGAAUUGAACAGGGUGAGAGCAGAGUGAGCAGGGCGAGACACUGCUUUUGUAUUGUCCUUCCUGAAAAGGUUGCAUCAGCUAACAGAUGGUUGACAUGACAACAUGGGAGAAGAGAUCCCCAAGAAGAGAGGAGGGACAGGCUCAGAGGUGAGUGCAGCUGGCCUGGACUGUCAAUAGCACAGAGGUGUGGGGUGGAAAGCUGUGAGCAGAAGGAGAGGAAGGGGGCAGAGAUGGAGCCUGGGGUUCCACCACAGGAGCCCUGUAGAGCUUGUGGUGUUAAUGGGAGAUGGGGCUAAUAAUAGCAACUUUCCUUUCAGGCUGUCUGGGUAAACCGAGCUUGCAGAUGCUUCAUGCAUUCAGUGUGCUACCCACUAAGGGGGGUGAUGGGUCUGGAGCCAAGCACUAGGAAUGCAGAGCAGAGGAAGCUGAAGAAAGGCAUGAAAAUGAGACAGUUUGUGCCCUCAAGAAGUUUACAAUUUGGAGCCUGGGAUAGUGGUGCAUAUCUGUAAUCUCAGCUCAGGCAAGAGGACUGUAAGUUCAAAGCCAGCCUGGGCAACAUAGCAAGACUGUGUUUCAAAUAAAAUAAAUAAGGACUGAGGAUAUAGCUCUGUGUAGGGCAUUUGCCUAUCACACUCAAAAAAGUCUUGCAGUUCAGACCUCAGUACUUUAAAAAAGUUUCUAAUUUAGUAAAGGAAGUAGGAUGGCAUCUCAAACACAUUCCCAUGACAGAUAAAUGAAGGGCUGGGCCUCUGAGAAGGCUUGGGCUUCUACAUUUCAAAAGAAAGCAGUGUAAUUUCCCCCUUGAAGUUAUCAUAAAAUCCAUAAGAGUAGAGAUGGGAACUUCAUUUUUCAUUCCAUCAUCCCUGAGGCUUAAUACAUAGUCCCCCAUUCCUAAUAGGUACCUCAACACGCACUGACUAAACAGUUCUGCAAACUGACUCAAUAAGAAUAACCUCAACUAAGACAAAAAAGAUGGUAGAUAGAUAACAGCAGCUACAGAGGCUCUCUUGAGAUAGUCAGCUUAGAUUUCAGGAAUGGUGCAGUGUGGGGAAUCCUAAGCAGAGGGAGAUAUACCCUGCUGACCCAGGAACGAACUAAGCUGAGAGAAACCAAUUGGAAAUGCAGCCCCGGUGCUACCACUGGAACAGCUAAAGUCUUGGUGCUGUCGCUUGAACACAUGAAUUGAACUCGCUGCCGCUGCCAUGCAUGAAUUGGCACAGCUAGGAUAGCCUGCUACUUUGAACUCACUGGAGACGUGAACACUCUGAGAGCGGGAAUCAGCGAACUGAAUUGAGAGUGGAGCUGGCGGGGAAACCUGCAUUGACUUGCGGUGAGUGAGAAGAGUAAAGAGGCUCCAACAGAGAACAUUCUGGGACCAGGCAGACUGGCUGGAACAGGGCACUGCAGUGACUUCAGUCACAUAUUCCUCUCUCAAGUGGGAUUGGUGGGGAGCACUUGACGUGGGUGACACCCAGACUGAGGCCCAAUAGGCUAGCCCAAAUUAAGCCCCUGUGCCUGGCAGUGCAUCCUAAUGCAGUGAAGCCUUCAGUAGGUUGACAUGGAGAGGCAGGUCCAUCAUAGGCUGCCUGGGUCUGUACCUGCUAGUACACUGCAGUGGAUGGCACGCUUCAGACAAACUGAAACUGACAAAGAAAGAAACUGGGCCUCCUAUAUAUGCCGGUAUGGAAGGAACAAAAAAUAUGAGAAGAGGAGGCAACAAGAAAGGGUCCUUAGUCCCCAAUCCUGAGAACACUGAUCCAGGAAAGGUAAACGCAAAGGAGAAUGAGGACAGAAAGCAUGCAAUAUCAGGCAUGGCACCAAUAGACAUAAAGCGAUAUCUUCAGGACCUCAUAGACAAGUUCAAAAGUGAAGUAUUUAACCAAGUAAAGCAAGAUAUAAAUAGAAUAAUUAAAGAAAUGCUAAACACUUCCCAAGAAAAAACAGAUGGUAGAAUAGGAGAACAAAAAAAUAGGAGAGGGGAGUUGUUUGAUGGAGAAAAUAGAGAAAACAUAGAAUACAUGAAGCAGGUUUAAAGAGAUUAUCAGGAAACUAAAAACUUUAUUGAAAGCUGGCAUAACAGCUUGAAAGAACCUAAGGAUAGAUUAUCUGAACUAGAGAACAGGUUUGUAAUGUGGAAACAUGAAAGGAAAAACUUCUUAAAAAUAACAAAGAAAUAAGCAGUAACAAUACAAAGGCAAGAAGAUGACAAAAGGAUCUAUAACUUAAGAAUAAAGAAUGUGAAUAAAGAAGCAGAGGUACAAACAAAGGAACUGCAAAGGCUAUUCACAGAAAUAAUUAAGGAAAACUUCCCAAACAUAGGAAAAGGAAAAGAUGCUCAGAUGUAUGAGGCAUACAGAACACCAUCCACCUACAACCAAAACAGAACUACACCCAGGCAUAUAAUAAUCAAGAUUCUAGAAUUCCAAUAUAAGAACAGAAUAUUAAAAGCUGUCAGAGACAAGAAACAGAUCACUUACAAGCAAAAACCCAUCAGAAUUACAGCAGACUUCUCAGCACAAACCAUCAAAUCUAGAAGAGCAUAGGGUGAAAUAAUCCAAGCCUUGAAAGACAAUAACCUCCAGCCAAGAUUGAUAUAUCCUGCACAAUUGUGCCUAGAAAUUAAUGGAGAAACAAGGUGCUUCCAAGAUAAAGAGGAACUGGGGGAAUUCUCAACCACCCAUCCAAAUCUACAGAGAAUACUGAAGGACAUUCUAAAAGAGAGAGAAAAGUACCAGGAUUCCAGAAACAGUGGCAGAGAGGCCACAAUGAAUGGAGCAGAAAGCAAAAUGAAGAAGACAACAGACCACUAAUGACAGAAAAAGAGCACAACAGAAAUAAGGCAAAGAAGGUUGGAUAUAAUUUCUAAUAUAGAUGGCAUAGAUACAUUAACUUAAGGGAAAAAAGAAUCACAGGCAGAGUGGGUCAAGAGGUAGGGUCCACCAAGAGGCUCUUUAUAGGAAAUAUAAUUAGCCUGAAGAAGGUUAUAUGGACCAAAAUCAUAUAUGAGAAAACAGAACUUGAUGUGAUAGGGAACCAGAGAAUAAUAGGGGCAACUGGACCAGUAUUUAUGGAUAGGUUGAACAGACAGGCUUUAAUAAAUGAAGAAAUACAACUAGAAAUCCAGCCCAGGAGUGAGAAAGUUCAGAAACACUUAGGUAAAUAGCAGGUUGCCCCCCUACCAAUAUAAACUGUGAGUGCUGGGAAGACCCAAAAAUACACAGUUCAUUCUGGGGAAGUAAACGGGAAGAAUAGUCUUCAAAAAAAAAGAGAAACCAGUAGAAGAUAUAGCUAAUAGUGUAUCAGGAGUUAUAACCCUUAUUACUCACACCACUCUUAGUUGGAACUUGUUCUGUCCUAGUUUGUAUACAAGCACUGAUCUGAGGGCACAGACAAUUGUCCUGAAGAUAUCAGGACAUAGCACAGUGGUCAUCUUUAGUUUCCUAUUAACUCAAUCAGGAUGCCUGUAUGACUUAUACUGUUGUAUCAGGACUGAUCUUAGUUAAAUAUGGCUUGUUAUUGAUAGAUUUUAUUAGGUUGCUGGUAUCAAAUUGAGGAGUAUAGACAACUAUACUGAAAAUGACAAUGGAUUCCACAAUAUCCAUUCUGAUUUUGUUACUACCUAUUUUUGUAGCUCUACACUAUCUACAAAGUUGUAUUUCUGUUAAUUCUGUUAUGUACUGAUAUGUUCAAUUAUCUUUUAUCUGAUGAUAUAGCCAAUUCUGUUGAUGAUAACAAGAAACAGCACCGUGAUCAUGGCAGAACUCCUUAUACAGAAGUUUUAUAUGCCUUUUUAGUUUUAUGUGUCUAUAGGAAUAUGUUUAGUUCUGUCCUGCUUUGUUGUGUUUCUCCCUCUAAUAUAGAAAGGAUAGAAAUACAUGUUAAGACUCAUGCUUGCGUAAAACCUAUAAACAGUUUAUGAAAACUGAUCUUAUGACACAUGAUGAAAUGAACAAAUACUCUGAAGGAAAGAAAGGGGCACUGCAGUACCCAGUGUUGAUUCUGGAGUGUUAUGAUGUGAAAUCCAGCAAUAUUAUUAAUCUUUGUUCAGAAGGAUUUUAAUCUACUAAGUUUUGUUAGGUCUCAACAUAAAAGAAGGUAUGGAUAAAUGCGUACACGUCUAAGUGUAUAGGAUUGAUAGCCAUAUUACUUCGUUUUUGUUGGAUAGUUGAACAGAACUGUUUGCAAUCUCCCUGGUUGAAUUCCCAUUUAUAUGUUCCACUUUUGUAUCUUGAACAACUAUUUGUGGGGGGACAAUAUGUAUACAUCAACUAGUGAUUUAUUACUGUUUAUUUCUUUUCUUUGAAAGUAUGUACUAUUUCUGCCCCUUUUCUAUUUUGUUUUGUCUUUCUUUAAAUAAUAAUAAAAAAAGAAUAACCUCA